rnacentral:lncRNA from 1 species
AGCAUAUUUAUUGACCAAAAUGGCAUAUCUUUUUUUAUUCUUCCUUCCCCCAAUGGAAUGAGCACAACAUCGUACUAAUACCACCAUUAAAAGGAAAAAAAACUAAAAGAAGACAUGCCAAUGUGCAAGUUACAUCAUAGUUUAUGUAUUAUUUCUAACAAAUCUCAUAAAACCUUCAAGGUUUGGAGGUGGUUGUAUUGGCGGUGGUGGAAAUGAAGAUUGUUCAUCACCACUUCCGGGUGAAGAUGUUUCCUGAGCA